rnacentral:rRNA from 1 species
GACGAACGCUGGCGGCGUGCUUAACACAUGCAAGUCGAACGGUAAGGCCCUUCGGGGUACACGAGUGGCGAACGGGUGAGUAACACGUGGGUGAUCUGCCCUGCACUUCGGGAUAAGCCUGGGAAACUGGGUCUAAUACCGGAUAGGACCACUGCCUGCAUGGGUGGUGGUGGAAAGCUCUUGCGGUGUGGGAUGGGCCCGCGGCCUAUCAGCUUGUGGGUGGGGUGAUGGCCUACCAAGGCGACGACGGGUAGCCGGCCUGAGAGGGGAACCGGACGCGCUGGGACGGAGAUACGGCUCAGACUCCUACGGGAGGCAGCAGUGGGGAAUCUUGCACAAUGGGUGCAUGCCUGAUGCAGCGACGCCGCGUGAGGGAUGACGGCCUUCGGGUUGUAAACCUCUUUCAGCACCGACGAAGCGCAAGUGACGGUAGGUGCAGAAGAAGGACCGGCCAACUACGUGCCAGCCGCUGCAGUAA